CUUGGUCAUUUAGAGGAAGUAAAAGUCGUAACAAGGUUUCCGUAGGUGAACCUGCGGAAGGAUCAUUACUGAAGAAAUGGUAGUGUUGAGCUGGCUCUUAGGAGUAUGUGCUCGCUCUAUCGCUUUUUCUACUCUCCACUGUGCACCUAUUGUAGGCUAUGACAACUCUCAAGUUCUCCCUCCCCCGAGGGGUUACUUGGAUAGAAGGCUAUGCAAUUCACGUUGCUUGCUUUCAACUUUGUAGCCUAUGUCUUAUACAAACUCUUUAUAGUUUUAUGAAUGAAUAUUGUUGGUCUUUGACCGAUAAAUUGUUAUACAACUUUCAGCAACGGAUCUCUUGGCUCUCGCAUCGAUGAAGAACGCAGCGAAAUGCGAUAAGUAAUGUGAAUUGCAGAAUUCAGUGAAUCAUCGAAUCUUUGAACGCACCUUGCACUCCUUGGUAUUCCGAGGAGUAUGCCUGUUUGAGUGUCAUUAAAUUCUCAAAACCUAGCUGUUUAUUUAUGAAUGGUUAGGCUUUUUGGACGUGAGGGUUUUCUGCUGGCUUUAAUCGAGUCGGCUCCCUUUAAAUGCAUUAGUGGUUGCUUCAUUCACUAGAGUGUGAUAGUAUAUCUACGCUCGUUACAGUGAACUGAUAAGGUCAUCCGCUUCAAACCGUCUUGGGUGUCGAGACAAUUUUUGACUAUUUGACCUCAAAUCAGGUAGGACUACCCGCUGAACUUAAGCAUAUCAAUAAGCGGAGGAA
rnacentral:rRNA from 1 species